rnacentral:rRNA from 1 species
UACGUAGGGUGCGAGCGUUGUCCGGAAUUAUUGGGCGUAAAGAGCUUGUAGGCGGUUUGUCGCGUCUGCUGUGAAAAUCCGGGGCUCAACCCCGGACUUGCAGUGGGUACGGGCAGGCUAGAGUGUGGUAGGGGAGACUGGAAUUCCUGGUGUAGCGGUGAAAUGCGUAGAUAUCAGGAGGAACACCGAUGGCGAAGGCAGGUCUCUGGGCCACUACUGACGCUGAGAAGCGAAAGCAUGGGGAGCGAACAGG